rnacentral:lncRNA from 1 species
AUGGUAUUAAAGCCAUAGACUUAGAGAGUGGUUAAGUGAUUUGUGGCUUCGAUCAAAUUUAUUUGGAGUACUUUUCUUUUAGAACAACAACUUGAUUAUUGAUGACUUCCAUGUUUGUAGCUCAACAUGGCUGAAAAGCUUCUAGUAAUUUAUUUUAUAGUAGUACAAGCAUGUGGACUCUUAUUUGGUGAUUCAAGAGAUGAAUCAUUAUGGCUGAUAUAUAUUGGUACCUUCUCUAUCAAUGAGUUG